rnacentral:rRNA from 1 species
UACGGGGGGGGCAAGCGUUGUUCGGAAUUACUGGGCGUAAAGGGCGCGUAGGCGGCCUUCUAAGUCGGACGUGAAAUCCCUCGGCUCAACCGAGGAACUGCGUCUGAUACUGGAAGGCUUGAAUCCGGGAGAGGGAUGUGGAAUUCCAGGUGUAGCGGUGAAAUGCGUAGAUAUCUGGAGGAACACCGGUGGCGAAGGCGGCAUCCUGGACCAACAUUGACGCUGAGGAGCGAAAGCCAGGGGAGCAAACGGG